ensembl:snoRNA
UUUCUUUUGUAGUUCAUAAGCAUGAUGAUUGGGUUUUCAUGCUUGUCUGUGAGAUGUGCCUCCCUCAAAUCUGUUGGUACAUUAGCCAUCUGACA